AUCCUCUAGAGAUUCGUAGGUGAACCUGCGGAAGGAUCAUUACUGAAAUGUAACAACUUCUAUUGAAAGGUUCCAGAGUAGGCGCUACAACGCCGAAAUGA
rnacentral:rRNA from 1 species